UGUCAAGUUUAAGGAAAAUAGGACUUUAUCUAAAAUUAGUUUUCUAAUUCAUGAACAUUGUCUAUCUCCAUUUAGGCCUUUUAAGUUUUCCUUGCCAGGUGUGGUAAUCCUAAGGCUUGGGAAGCAGAGAGAGGAGGGUUCCAAGAGCAAUGUCACUUACACUUCAGAAUGAGACCCAGUCUCUACGAUGGAAUAAGAUAAAAGAAACCAUGAGAGACAGAGAAUGAAAGUUUUUGUUUCUGUGUAUUAAGAUUUGUGUCAUGGUCUCGUGCAGCCCCGGCUGGCCUGCAGCUCAUUGGGUCUGGAAGAUGAGUCACCAGAUGAAUACUGGCAUUUGCUGUGGCAUUUGUCCAUUUCCUAAGACUAGGAGGCAGGAGUAAGAACUUUCAAAAGGCAGUAGAAUUGGCAUCACAUUAUGUUUCAAAGACGCUUGGGCGUUCACAUUCCAGGCAUAGUGGAAUUGAAAAGCAAUAGCCUGCUCUUUAGCAUCCUGUGACACAGAGAAUCAGCCGAGUUUAGGAGGAGAGCAUAUCCACCCACAUGUCUACCUCUAAGAAGCUGAGGCCAGAGAAUAGUUUCCAAAAGUGCACUUUAACAGUAAGAAGUUUAGAAAAUUCAUAUGUAAUAAAGUCUCUGCCAAUUUAUAUACAAAACUUUCUGGACACAUAUACACAUGCUUUUGUAAUGAGCAAAUGUCUAAAAUGGCAACAUGGAAAAAUAAAUAUAGGGCCAUCAUUGAGUUGCUUAACAAGUAUACUUAAGAAUACUAAUAAAAUCAUUUGGAGAAAAGUUCUUAAUUUCUUAAUAACUUUGGCUCAGACUACCUUAAUUGGACAAAUACUUUACAAUUCUGUAUUUAAAAUAGCAAUGGCCUUCUUAAUCCUACCACGAACCACACAAAACAGCAAAAAAGCCUCACUUGCUACCAGCUGAUAACUUUGUUACCAAAAAAAUCUUACACAAAAUUUAAAGAAAAGUGGUCAGUUUUCUGAAAAGCUACUUGUCAGAACAUAGGCAAAAGAUCAGUAUUCCUGUAGAAAAAGAUGGACACUUCAAAAAGAAUUAUAGGUGACCCAAACCGACACAUCUUCAUUCUUCAACGGGCUGGAGAACAGCACAGUGGUUAAGAUCCCUUCUGAGGACCUGGGUUUGGUUCCCAGCACAUCAGGUGGCCCACAACCUCCUGGAAUCCAGUUCUAGGAGAUCUAAUGCCUUCUGGCCCCUACAUGGACGCAGUGCUAAACCCAGGAACAUACAUAAGCAAACAUAUAAAAAUAUACCUUCUUUUCAAAAAUUUUUUUCUUAAUAAAUUGUCAAUGAAUUAAAAUCUGGAGACUCACUCG
rnacentral:lncRNA from 1 species